CCUAAAAGAAGCAAGUCUAGAUUCUGUCACACAGUCCCUGAACCACAUUAUUUUCCCUACUGCUUUGCCCUGCCUGCAAUGCUGAAGCUAUAGAUGAAGCAAGUCUACAUAUCCUCAGGUUCUGAAUCUCCCAUCUCACCGAGGCUCCUUUUCAAAUUAAAUGGG